GUCCGAUGAGCGCGUCGAGGCUGCCCCACGCCUGCUUGAGAGGGCAGGCGCACGGGGCGGGAGGGUUCUGGUGUCCGAAGUAGGGGCAGCCGGCGGCGUGGACUUUAGUCUUCCCAAACUGGUCGAGGUACUUAAGGAAUUCGAUGACGUGGGCCCCACUGCAGCGGGCCAACGUGAGCGGAGGCUUGUGGUUCUUGAGGUACUGCAGGAAGGUGUUCCAGUCCCGCCGCUUCUGCGACUCGUAGCGGCUCGGCGGAGCGGGAGAUGCUGACA
rnacentral:lncRNA from 1 species